rnacentral:lncRNA from 1 species
CAAUACGAAAUUUGAGUUUGACCCUUUUUUUCGCAACUAACCAUUUCAAAUAAUUCGUAACAAAUUAUUGCUUAUUUCGCAACCAAUAAUUUUAAAUAAUUAAUUAUCUGCCAAUACGAAAUUUGAGUUUGCAACAGAUUAUUUCCACCGCGAAAAAAUAAUUCGCAACAGAUUAUUGCGUAUUUCGCAACCAAUAAUUUCAAAUAAUUCGUAACCAAAUAUCCAUAUUUGAGUUUGACACGUGGCAAGCAUAUAGAAAAUAUUUACAAUAUCCUACAGUGUUCUUUUUUUUAUAUACAUCGAACAUUUUUAUAUACUUCUUGAUUUUUGAUGAAUCAAAUUUAAAUAUGUGUUUUAAAUUAAAAGCAUCAAAAUUUAAUUCACCUUUAUUUUAAAAUUUAAAAUUUAAUUUUGAGCUAUUAUAAUAAAAAAAUUAAUUGUUAAUUCAAAUUUGAUAUCAAAAUUAAUUUUAAUUCAUAAUUUAAACUCAAAUUUUAAUUUUAAUGUAAAAUAGAUGAAUAAAAAUAUUACCUUUUAACAAAUUGGUCAUAACCGUUUGUUUUUAUUUGAGAUAUUUUUUAACAAAUUGAUUAUAAUCGUUCGUAGGAUUGAAUUUAUAAGUGCAUAGGAAUACUAUUUUUUAAUAGAUUAGUCAUAACUGUUCUUAUUUGAGAUUUUUUUUAACAAAUUGAUUAUAACCAUUUGUAAGGAAUAGAUUUUUAUAUAUAGUAGAGAUUUAAUAGAUUGAUUAUAACCGUUCUUUUUUAUUUAAGAUAUUUUAAUAAAUUAAUUAUAAUCAUUUGUAGUAAAUAUUAUUUUAUAUUUAAUAGAUUAAUCAUAACCGUUUGUUUUUAUUUGAGAUAUUUUUAAUAAAUUAAUCAUAAUCAUUCACAAGUAAUAUUCUUUUAUUUCUUUUUGAAUUCCGUCUGUCAUUGUCGGAAUUCCUAUACGCUUUUAUAUAUAGUAUAGAUAUAUAGAGUAAGGCUACUAUGCUAUCGGAAGCACGGAGCCUUCUGUGCUUCCCGCUCGUUUUCGAUGUUGCGACUUUCGAAUCGUAAAUCGGCUCCGUUAAACUUGAUCUCGAGUAUUUUAAGUACCUAGAAAGUAAAUUAUGCAAUUUUUUGAUAUUAUAUUGCCUAGUGAACGAAAGGGCUCAGAAUCAACGGCUGAACAUAAAAAUCUUACAAAAUGUGAUAAUAGGACGUUAAAAUUUUAGAUCAAAGAUAUUGAACUUGUUUUAUAUGGCAUAAAAAAUUUUUCAUCAAAAUUUCACGUGAUUUGGAUAUUUCUGCAUCGUUAAACUUGCAAACGGCUCACUGCAACUAUUAAAAUUAUUGUUUUUGAGCCCAUUCGAUCACUAGGCAAAUGAUAUCAAAAAAUCAUAAAAUUUAUUUUCUAGGUACUUCAAAUACUCUAGAUCAAAUUUAACGGAGCCGACCGACGAUUCGAAAGUCACAACAUCGAAAACGAACUGGAAGCACGGAAGGCUCUGUACUUCCGAUAGCAUAGUAACCUCACACGAACACUAUAUAUAUAUAA